GCCGUGAUAUAUGUCUCGCUCCCUUUCGCUUACAGAAAGGAUUUCUUCCGACAGACGUGACCCCAGAAGGCUGCCGAGGGAGACUUUAGGACAAGAGGCGUUGUUUUUUUAGGGAAGGAAGAGGAGCCUGUGCAGAGUUGAACUGGGGUGGAGAGGUGCCUUGUAAAGUAUGGUUUCCAGAGAUGGUGAGACCUCGUAGCUAAGCGUUGUUUCCUCUGCACGUAACUUUUCAGCGUGGCCGCAUUUGGAAAAGGCUGAAGGUAGAAAACUCUGGAAUGGAGAGGCUGGCGACUGGAGCAGGAUCCAGGGGCUUUAAAUUUUAACCUGAAUGCGAUCGAAUGCGCGACUCCCAGAAGAGAUAGCCAGGCGUCCGCCCGGCCGCUCAACCCCCGCCAGGACUCGGAAUGCCUUGCUUUUGGUUCUUUUCUACAAGGAUGUCUGCGUGGAUAUCCCUGGACACUCGAUACCCCCCGGGGACCUG
rnacentral:lncRNA from 1 species